CCUACGGGAGGCAGCAGUGGGGCAUAUUGGGCAAUGGGCGCAAGCCUGACCCAGCAACGCCGCGUGAAGGAAGAAGGCUUUCGGGUUGUAAACUUCUUUUCUCAGGGACGAAGCAAGUGACGGUACCUGAGGAAUAAGCCACGGCUAACUACGUGCCAGCAGCCGCGGUCAUACGUAGGUGGCAAGCGUUAUCCGGAUUUACUGGGUGUAAAGGGCGUGUAGGCGGGACUGCAAGUCAGAUGUGAAAACCAUGGGCUCAACCUAUGGCCUGCAUUUGAAACUGUAGUUCUUGAGUACUGGAGAGGCAGACGGAAUUCCUAGUGUAGCGGUGAAAUGCGUAGAUAUUAGGAGGAACACCAGUGGCGAAGGCGGUCUGCUGGACAGCAACUGACGCUGAGGCGCGAAAGCGUGGGGAGCAAACAGGAUUAGAUACCCCUGUAGUC
rnacentral:rRNA from 1 species